rnacentral:rRNA from 1 species
CAGCAGCCACGGUAAUACGGAGGAUCCAAGCGUUAUCCGGAAUCAUUGGGUUUAAAGGGUCCGUAGGCGGUCUUGUAAGUCAGUGGUGAAAGCCCAUCGCUCAACGGUGGAACGGCCAUUGAUACUGCAGGACUUGAAUUAUUGGGAAGUAACUAGAAUAUGUAGUGUAGCGGUGAAAUGCUUAGAGAUUACAUGGAAUACCAAUUGCGAAGGCAGGUUACUACCAAUUGAUUGACGCUGAUGGACGAAAGCGUGGGUAGCGAACAGGAUUAGAUACCCGUGUAGUCCCUGUCUCUUAUAU